rnacentral:tRNA from 1 species
GCGGAUGUGGCGGAAUUGGCAGACGCGCUAGAUUUAGGUUCUAGUGGAUUUAUCCGUGCAGGUUCGAUUCCUGUCAUCCGUA